UGGGGAAUCUUGGGCAAUGGGCGCAAGCCUGACCCAGCGACGCCGCGUGGGGGAUGAAGGCCUUCGGGUUGUAAACCCCUGUCAGGGGGGGCGAAAGCCUUCCGGUGAAUAGCCGGGAGGUCUGACAGUACCCCCAAAGGAAGCCCCGGCUAACUCCGUGCCAGCAGCCGCGGUAAUACGGAGGGGGCUAGCGUUAUUCGGAAUUACUGGGCGUAAAGCGCGCGCAGGUGGCGCAGUAAGUGGCUGGUGAAAGCCCUCGGCUCAACCGAGGAACUGCCUGCCAAACUGUUGCGCUUGAGGCCGGGAGGGGGAAGCGGAAUUCCUGGUGUAGCGGUGAUAUGCGUAGAUACCAGGAGGAACACCGGUGGCGAAGGCGGCUUCCUGGACCGGCUCUGACACUCAUGCGCGAAAGCGUGGGGAGCAAACAGG
rnacentral:rRNA from 1 species